rnacentral:rRNA from 1 species
UACGUAGGGUGCAAGCGUUAAUCGGAAUUACUGGGCGUAAAGCGUGCGCAGGCGGUGAUGUAAGACAGAUGUGAAAUCCCCGGGCUCAACCUGGGAACUGCAUUUGUGACUGCAUCGCUGGAGUACGGCAGAGGGGGAUGGAAUUCCGCGUGUAGCAGUGAAAUGCGUAGAUAUGCGGAGGAACACCGAUGGCGAAGGCAAUCCCCUGGGCCUGUGCUGACGCUCAUGCACGAAAGCGUGGGGAGCAAACAGG